rnacentral:rRNA from 1 species
GAUGUGAAAGCCCCCGGCUCAACCCGGGGAGGGUCAUUGGAAACUGGGGAACUUGAGUGCAGAAGAGGAGAGUGGAAUUCCACGUGUAGCGGUGAAAUGCGUAGAGAUGUGGAGGAACACCAGUGGCGAAGGCGACUCUCUGGUCUGUAACUGACGCUGAGGAGCGAAAGCGUGGGGAGCGAACAGGAUUAGAUACCCUGGUAGUCCACGCCGUAAACGAUGAGUGCUAAGUGUUAGGGGGUUUCCGCCCCUUAGUGCUGCAGCUAACGCAUUAAGCACUCCGCCUGGGGAGUACGGUCGCAAGACUGAAACUCAAAGGAAUUGACGGGGGCCCGCACAAGCGGUGGAGCAUGUGGUUUAAUUCGAAGCAACGCGAAGAACCUUACCAGGUCUUGACAUCCUCUGACAAUCCUAGAGAUAGGACGUCCCCUUCGGGGGCAGAGUGACAGGUGGUGCAUGGUUGUCGUCAGCUCGUGUCGUGAGAUGUUGGGUUAAGUCCCGCAACGAGCGCAACCCUUGAUCUUAGUUGCCAGCAUUCAGUUGGGCACUCUAAGGUGACUGCCGGUGACAAACCGGAGGAAGGUGGGGAUGACGUCAAAUCAUCAUGCCCCUUAUGACCUGGGCUACACACGUGCUACAAUGGACAGAACAAAGGGCAGCGAAACCGCGAGGUUAAGCCAAUCCCACAAAUCUGUUCUCAGUUCGGAUCGCAGUCUGCAACUCGACUGCGUGAAGCUGGAAUCGCUA